CAAGAAUCCAAGAUCCUCUUUCCAUUAAAAAAAGAAAAUUCAAGAUCCUCUUGUAUUUAUAUCAAAGUCCAUUUUCCAUAUCUAGCAUUGAUUUUAAUUAUUUCUCAAUCAGGCACCACACAGCGCCUUGCUAGCCUUCAGGAGAAGAAAAUAUGGCAAACAUGCAUAUUCUUCUUCUGCAUCUAUUAUUAUCUCUGCUACUUGUUCAUGAAACCUUAGCCAAAAUUCCAGCAAUCAUAGUGUUUGGAGAUUCAUCUGUUGAUGCUGGAAACAACAACUUGAUUUCCACUGUUCUCAAGAGUAAUUUCCAGCCUUAUGGCCGAGAUUUCGAAGGUGGUCGUCCAACCGGACGCUUCUCCAAUGGUCGUAUCCCUCCUGACUUCAUUUCUCAAGCUUUUGGUCUCAAGCCAGCAAUUCCUGCUUACUUAGAUCCCUUGUAUACUAUAUCAGAUUUUGCUACUGGUGUUUGCUUUGCCUCUGCUGGAACUGGCUAUGACAAUGCUACUUCCAAUGUCCUCAAUGUGAUACCCUUGUGGAAGGAGCUAGAGUACUACAAGGAUUACCAGAACAAACUGAGAGCCCAUGUUGGAAACAAUAAGGCAAAGGAGAUACUGAGUGAGUCGUUGUAUUUGAUGAGCUUAGGAACAAAUGAUUUCCUAGAAAAUUACUACGUAUUUCCAACAAGAAGAGCUCAAUUCAAUGUCGAGCAAUAUCAGGAUUUUCUUGUUAAACAUGCUGGAGAUUUCAUUACCAAACUCUACGAUCUUGGAGCUAGGAAGAUUUCACUGACUGGGCUUCCUCCAAUGGGGUGUUUGCCAUUAGAGAGGACUACAAAUUUCAUUGGUCUACAUGAUUGUUCAGAGCAAUACAAUCAUGUAGCUUUGGAAUUCAAUGGGAAGUUGGAGGGCUUAGCUUCAAAGCUUAACAAAGAGCUUCCUGGACUCAAGAUAUUGUUCACAAAAAGUGUUUAUGACGUUUUCUAUGAUAUCAUCAGAAGACCUUCUCUAUACGGUAAGCUCUACUUAAUCAGUGCUUAAUUAUGUCAAUCUUAUUACAUAUAUACUUGUUCUUUCUUUAUAAUUUUUGUUCAUAUAUCCUUUCCUUGUAGACAAAUUAAAAUUUUCAUGCACUAAUAGGAAGAGCUUACUUAGACGUGAUCACGGACUCAAGACACAAACAUGCAUUAUGUUGAGAGAAUUUCUCCUCCUAAAUUAACUAAAAUGACAUUUUAUUACAAGCAGUUAAAAGUAACAGAAAAUCUAGCAGACCAGACAUAUUGAAUAAUUCCUCCUACUGGUUAGUUCUUAGAUUAUCCUAAAUCUUACAUCUAUAGGUGAUAAUUGCAAAUAAUAGAUGGGUUGUUAUAAAUAUAUUGGCUUCAUUUGAAAGAAAUUUUUUACAAGAAAAAAAUUUAAUUAAAUUCUCAUAUAAUUAUACUUAAUUUCUAUUUUUAUGAAAAUGAAUUGUUUUAAAUUAAAAGAAUUGAAUUCUUUCAUUUUAAAUAUAAAAAUUAAUAAAAUAAGUCAAUUGAAUUGAAUUAUAGUAAAAUUUUACAUAUUCUAUGAUUUAGGAUAUUAUUUUUUUUGGGUAGGUGCUGUUUUUGGUGAGGGGGUGGAAGGGAAAGAGGAGCAAAUAUAGGUUAGGGAUGAAAUUGAAUUAAAUUCCACAUUGAAAUUAAGUAAUUGAGCAAGUCUAGAAAUUUACUAAUUCAUAAGAAAUAAGAUUCUAUACUCAUUUAAUGUGAAGUGUCUCUUUCUAUAGCCAUAAAACUGUAAAAGAAAAAUCAGAAAAAUCAGUGCAUGUCAUAUCUCACUGUCUAUAACUCUUGUUAUGUUGAGAGUUCAAAUCUUAUCGAUCAUCAUAAGGUAAUCUGUAAGCUUCACUUUAAUGAGAUUGUUAGAAUGCCCUAAUUUAGGAUUGAAAACUUUCUCUCCACUUAAAUUUUAUCUCACCAAACACACACACAUAUAUAUAUAUA
rnacentral:misc_RNA from 1 species